AUUUUAUGCAUGCAAGGUUGAUUCACUAAUGAUAUUUUUCUCUUACAUGUAUUAUUUAGGUCCAAUUUCUGGGGUUUUUUAUAUUUCAAGCUACAGCCUUUAAUUUAUUUGUGUUUAUCUAUACACACAGCAUUAUAGACUUUUGCAUAAAGGAUCUGGUCAGUUCGACAAGACAAUCAUUUAUUUAAAUCAUAUAUAUGUUAUUGCUCCUCUUUGACCUUUUUAUCCCACGUGGAAAAUGGCUUUUUUAGCAUUUACAUUCAAACUUUUAUUUAUUUGUUGUUUUUGUAAUGGAAGAUGAAGGCUUGCUUGUUUGUCCAUUUUUUUUUUAACUUGUGUUCUGUUCAGUGUUGUUAUUUGUUUACCACAGGAUUAUUUUUCAAUUUUACUUUGUGUAGUCUAUAAAACAUCAAGGUUGUAAGUGUUAAUGAAUAAUGAUAUCACCCAACAGUCAUGAGUUAUUUCCCUUUAUGACUACAACAUAAUAAUUUCAUUGUACAGUUUUAGACCCUGUUUUCAGUUUUAUUAUUUUAUAAUGUGGUCCAUAAAAUUGUCUUAGGUACAUGGCAGUAACCAUUGUAAUUGCUGCUCAAACAGAAUAUGACAAUAUAUUCAAUGGACAUUGACAGCAAGUAUUUGCAACAAGUUGCCAGGUCCUAUUUCUUACAUACGGUAAAUGUUUUAAAGGGGUAUACAGACUGUUGUAAAAUGACAAUAAAACAUAGAAAUAUU
rnacentral:sRNA from 1 species